rnacentral:rRNA from 1 species
UACGUAGGGUGCGAGCGUUAAUCGGAAUUACUGGGCGUAAAGCGUGCGCAGGCGGUUCGUUAUGUCCGUUGUGAAAGCCCCGGGCUCAACCUGGGAACUGCGUUUGAAACUGGGAGACUUGAGUGUGGCAGAGGGGGGUGGAAUUCCACGUGUAGCAGUGAAAUGCGUAGAUAUGUGGAGGAACACCGAUGGCGAAGGCAGCCCCCUGGGUUAACACUGACGCUCAUGCACGAAAGCGUGGGGAGCAAACAGG